UAGCAAAAGAUCUAUGAUACUAAAUCACCUCUAGGAUCACAACCCAGUAUUCUUACACUAUUAAACUACUUUGCA
rnacentral:tRNA from 1 species